rnacentral:rRNA from 1 species
GACGAACGCUGGCGGCGUGCUUAACACAUGCAAGUCGAACGGAAAGGCCCUGCUCUUGCGGGGCGCUCGAGUGGCGAACGGGUGAGUAUCACGUGAGUAUCCCGCCCUUGUCUUUGGGAUAUCUUUAGGAAACUGGGGCUAAUACCGGAUAGGAGCUCCUGCUGCAUGGUGUGCAUUGGUGAGAUUCGGCGGUUGGGGAUGGUCUCGCUGCUUAUCCGCUUGUUUGUGAGGUAGUGGCUUACCAAGGGUUUGACGGAUAGGCGGCAUGAGAGCGCAAACGGCCACAUUGGGACUAAGGUAGGGACCAGACUGCUACGGGCGGCAACAGUGGAAAGUAUUACACAACGAGCGGAAGCCAGAGGCGGCAGCGCCGCGUGCGGAAUACCGUCCUUCGGGUUGUAAACCGAUUUCGCCUGAGACGAGGAGUGAGUGACGGUAAUGAGUAAAAAAGCACCGGCUAACUACGUG